rnacentral:rRNA from 1 species
UGCGUAGGCGGGUUGGUAAGUCCGUGGUGAAAUCUCCAAGCUUAACUUGGAAACUGCCGUGGAUACUAUCAAUCUUGAAUAUAGUGGAGGUGAGCGGAAUAUGUCAUGUAGCGGUGAAAUGCUUAGAUAUGACAUAGAACACCCAUUGCGAAGGCAGCUCGCUACACUAUUAUUGACGCUGAGGCACGAAAGCGUGGGGAUCAAACA